rnacentral:lncRNA from 1 species
CAGAGGAGGUUGGACAGCAGGCCGCAAAGCAUCAUGGGUAUUGAGCGCCUAAUUCCACGCGUGGCUUUCAUUGACUGUUGACUGUCGAGGAGUGAACAUCUCUCUGACUACAAAACCAAUAUGGAAGCUUUCGAACGACAAGAAUGUCAGGCUGCGAUAUUUUGUGAAAACAGCAUGUUAUUGCUGUAUUGUUGCGAUCAUCAUUAUGACUUGUGUUUUACUAUAUCAAGUUUACCUUUUUUAAAAUUGCAUGGGACGUGUUGUCAUUUUAGCUUUACAAAUAAUCCGUCUGAGAAAAGGAAUUGUGUUUAAUUUAUAUUCCCAAUAGCGAGGCUCUUCUUUCUAAGUUGGAUGGCGUUAAAUCUCUGUGUAUCAUCAACGUGAAAAAUUAACAAGCGCAGUAUUUAAGGUUGGUAUACUACAAUGCAUUACAGUUAUCGUGUUAUUUUAGUCAAAUUUCCGCUUUGUUGUUUUUAUUCUUGUACUUUUAAUAUAAAUAUGGCGUCUUACUUGUGUUUACAAUGCCUCUAGUUUGACCCUAUAGUGUGUGUAUAUGUACUGUGUCACUGUGAUACAUAUGUACAUGUUUUGAGUUAAACGAAUUGUUUAAUACAUUUUUGCUGAAGUAUGAUGCCUGUUUGUAUGGAUAGAUUUUUACAUAUAUGUGCAUACAGUAUAGUAUAUUUUUCAAUUUUCAUCUGUAAAAUAACAUUUGUGUGUUGUUCUAAUAUUACUGUAAAUAGUGACACACUUUUGCAUUAGAUUGCUAAUUUUAGAGAUUACAGUGUAUGUAUAAAAUAAUAAAAUAAAAAUUUUCUUGUUAUGAUUUUGUAGAAAGAGAUCUACUUGAGUGGUUCAGUGGUUGGCUGGUCUUGAACCUGGUCAGCAUGGAUAUGGUAAUGAAGGUGAUAGGGCAGAAAGUGGUGACCAGUUAAAUGAUCAGGAUGAAAGUGACGAGGACGAAAUCACCCAUGCUGUGCCAUUCAAGUGCAUUGGUGCUGUUCAUGAGAAACAUUACCAAGAUCAUUUGUAACAGGCAUGCCUUGCAAUUCAUGGACAAGAUAAACCAGUGAAUGUAAGAAUACGUCCAAAGCCAUUGAAUCCAAUGGACCCAAGUGCAAUAGCAAUUGAUGUAGACUAUGGAACUGGAUGGACACAUGUGAUGUUGGCUAUAUUAUUUGCAC